rnacentral:rRNA from 1 species
GACGAACCGUGCGAACGUUGUUCGGAAUUACUGGGCGUAAAGCGUGCGCAGGCGGUUGUGUAAGACAGAUGUGAAAUCCCCGGGCUCAACCUGGGAACUGCAUUUGUGACUGCACGGCUGGAGUGCGGCAGAGGGGGAUGGAAUUCCGCGUGUAGCAGUGAAAUGCGUAGAUAUGCGGAGGAACACCGAUGGCGAAGGCAAUCCCCUGGGCCUGCACUGACGCUCAUGCACGAAAGCGUGGGGAGCAAACAGG